rnacentral:tRNA from 1 species
UAAGUGGAGGCCAAAUUAGAGGUAUCUAACUGUUAAUUAGAAGAUUGUAAAAUAUUUUUACCCAUUUAG